GUCCACGCCCUAAACGAUGUCAACUAGGUGUUGGGUGGGUAAACCAUUUAGUACCGGAGCUAACGCGUGAAGUUGACCGCCUGGGGAGUACGGCCGCAAGGUUAAACUCAAAGGAAUUGACGGGGACCCGCACAAGCGGUGGAUGAUGUGGAUUAAUUCGAUGCAACGCGAAAAACCUUAACCUACCCUUGACAUGUCCAGGAUCCUUAAGAGAUUUGGGAGUGCUCGAAAGAGAACUGGAACACAGGUGCUGCAUGGCUGUCGU
rnacentral:rRNA from 1 species